rnacentral:sRNA from 1 species
GCUGGGUGUGGUGGCACACACCUGUAAUCCCACCCACUUGGGAAGCUUCGGAAGGAGGAUCACAAGUUUCAAGGCCAGCCUCAGCAACUUAGUGAGACCCUGUCUC